rnacentral:tRNA from 1 species
GCCCUCGUAGCUCAGCCGGUAGAGCGUGCGGCUGUUAACCGCAAGGUCGGCAGUUCGAGUCUGCCCGGGGGCG